CGGAUUUAUUGGGCGUAAGCGAGCGCAGGCGGAAGAAUAAGUCUGAUGUGAAAGCCCUCGGCUUACCGAGGAACUGCAUCGGAAACUGUUUUUCUUGAGUGCAGAAGAGGAGAGUGGAAUUCCAUGUGUAGCGGUGGAAUGCGUAGAUAUAUGGAAGAACACCAGUGGCGAAGGCGACUCUCUGGUCUGCAACUGACGCUGAGGCUCGAAAGCAUGGGUAGCGAACAGGAUUAGAUACCCUGGUAGUCCAUGCCGUAAACGAUGAGUGCUAAGUGUUGGGAGGUUUCCGCCUCUCAGUGCUGCAGCUAACGCAUUAAGCACUCCGCCUGGGGAGUACGACCGCAAGGUUGAAACUCAAAGGAAUUGACGGGGGCCCGCACAAGCGGUGGAGCAUGUGGUUUAAUUCGAAGCAACGCGAAGAACCUUACCAGGUCUUGACAUCUAGUGCCAUCCUAAGAGAUUAGGAGUUCCCUUCGGGGACGCUAAGACAGGUGGUGCAUGGCUGUCGUCAGCUCGUGUCGUGAGAUGUUGGGUUAAGUCCCGCAACGAGCGCAACCCUUGUUAUUAGUUGCCAGCAUUAAGUUGGGCACUCUAAUGAGACUGCCGGUGAUAAACCGGAGGAAGGUGGGGAUGACGUCAAGUCAUCAUGCCCCUUAUGACCUGGGCUACACACGUGCUACAAUGGACAGUACAACGAGAAGCGAGCCUGCGAAGGCAAGCGAAUCUCUGAAAGCUGUUCUCAGUUCGGACUGCAGUCUGCAACUCGACUGCACGAAGCUGGAAUCGCUAGUAAUCGCGGAUCAGAACGCCGCGGUGAAUACGUUCCCGGGCCUUGUACACACCGCCCGUCACACCAUGGAAGUCUGCAAUGCCCAAAGCCGGUGGCCUAACCUUCGGGAAGGAGCCGUCUAGGAGAGACUGGGUGAUCGUACGGAACCGUAACGAACAAGGUAUGCUGGCUCGUAACAACUCAGAU
rnacentral:rRNA from 1 species